CCAUCUUGGUUCGUACCUCCAUCGCAGUGUGGAAGAAACCUACGGCGUGUUCUGUGUCUUCAGAGUAGCCAUGAAAGUCGUUCGAGAUCGACGGGAGCAGUAUAGCUCUCGCUGUUUUCAUAGACGUCACCGAUUCCAAACAGAUUUUCCCGGUGCUUGCGGCCGCAUAUAAGACACUUGUAUCCAAGUCGAGAGAUUCUCUGUACAAUUAUUCGGGUUCAAAGUAUGUAAUUCUUUCUGACUUCUUGGAUAUUGCAGACUGUUUUUAAUUUAUUUGUGGGUAUGGACGAGUGAUCUUUGGACUUAAUCAUAUGCAGAUUACAGAGUCUUUAAAAAAGAUGUGGAAUUUCUGAUAGUUCUUCUUAUGUCCUUGUGGCUCGUUUUAAUGCUUCCCCUGAUGAGAUGAAGGCAUCGAGAAACUAGUACAUGGAAAAGAGAUCAACCUAGAGGAAUUGGGAGAGAGAGCAGACCGAGCUUGGAUACGAAAGCAUUUUAAGAUAACUGGACCCGAGUUGACGGUAUCGCCAUCACACGUAGAACCGCUGCGCGGGAUGCCUUGUAGCUGCAAAACCUGCAACAAGUUUCAUCUUUGGCUGUUGGCACACAGUCACUCCUCUAUAGGUGAAUGCAUUGAUUUUUGUUUUACAGUAUAAUUACUUUUAGGUUGAUGAUGUCUAAGCAAUUAUAUGGAAUGUUCAAAUGAUUAUGCUGUUGAUGUCUAAUGGGAAUUGAAUAAUUUGUAAUUAGGUUGUUGAUGUCUAAGCAAUUUUAUAGAAUUCUCAGGUAAUUAU